rnacentral:rRNA from 1 species
GACGAACGCUGGCGGCGUGCCUAAUACAUGCAAGUCGAGCGGAUCUUCAUUAGCUUGCUUUUGAAGAUCAGCGGCGGACGGGUGAGUAACACGUGGGCAACCUGCCUGUAAGACUGGGAUAACUUCGGGAAACCGGAGCUAAUACCGGAUAAUCCUUUUCCUCUCAUGAGGAAAAGCUGAAAGACGGUUUCGGCUGUCACUUACAGAUGGGCCCGCGGCGCAUUAGCUAGUUGGUGAGGUAACGGCUCACCAAGGCGACGAUGCGUAGCCGACCUGAGAGGGUGAUCGGCAACACUGGGACUGAGACACGGCCCAGACUCCUACGGGAGGCAGCAGUAGGGAAUCUUCCGCGAUGGACGAAAGUCUGACGGAGCAACGCCGCGUGAGCGAUGAAGGCCUUCGGGUCGUAAAGCUCUGUUGUCAGGGAAGAACAAGUAUCGGAGUAACUGCCGGUACCUUGACGGUACCUGACCAGAAAGCCACGGCUAACUACGUGCCAGCCGCCGCCGUAAAAC